AGAGUUUGAUCAUGGCUCAGAACGAACGCUGGCGGCAGGCUUAACACAUGCAAGUCGAACGCUCGUAGCAAUACGGGAGUGGCAGACGGGUGAGUAACGCGUGGGAACCUUCCCUGUGGUACGGAAUAACUUCGGGAAACCGAAGCUAAUACCGUAUAUCUCCUGCGGGAGAAAGAUUUAUCGCCAUAGGAUGGGCCCGCGUUGGAUUAGCUAGUUGGUGAGGUAACGGCUCACCAAGGCAACGAUCCAUAGCUGGUCUGAGAGGAUGAUCAGCCACACUGGGACUGAGACACGGCCCAGACUCCUACGGGAGGCAGCAGUGGGGAAUAUUGGACAAUGGGCGCAAGCCUGAUCCAGCCAUGCCGCGUGAGUGAAGAAGGCCUUAGGGUUGUAAAGCUCUUUUGGCGGGGACGAUAAUGACGGUACCCGCAGAAUAAGCCCCGGCUAACUUCGUGCCAGCAGCCGCGGUAAUACGAAGGGGGCUAGCGUUGUUCGGAAUCACUGGGCGUAAAGCGUACGCAGGCGGAUCGAUAAGUCAGGGGUGAAAUCCCGGGGCUCAACCUCGGAAUUGCCUUUGAUACUGUCGAUCUUCGAGUUCGGGAGAGGUUGGCGGAAUUCCUAGUGUAGAGGUGAAAUUCGUAGAUAUUAGGAAGAACACCAGUGGCGAAGGCGGCCAACUGGCCCGAUACUGACGCUCAUGUACGAAAGCGUGGGGAGCAAACAGGAUUAGAUACCCCCGUAGUCC
rnacentral:rRNA from 1 species